AUCGAACGCUGGCGGCAGGCCUAAUACAUGCAAGUCGAGCGUGGGGCGGACGGUUGAGUAAUGUAUGGGGAUCUGUCCGAUACAGGGGGAUAACUAGUGGAUACGGUAGCUAAUACCGUACACAAUUGGAUGAACCCAUAUGGUAUUAGCUAGUUGGUGAGGUAAUGGCCCACCACGGCGACGAUCCAUAGCAGAUCUGAGAGGAUGAUCAGCCACACUGGGACUGAGACACGGUCCAGACUCCUACGGGAGGCAGCAGUAGGGAAUAUUCUGCAAUGGACGCAAGCCUGAUGCAGCCAUGCCGCGUGUGUGAAGAAGGCCUUAGGAUUGUAAAGUACUUUCAGCAGAGAGGCGUUACCCACCCAGAAAGCACCGGCUAACUCCGUGCCAGCAGCCGCGGUAAUUC
rnacentral:rRNA from 1 species